GAUAGUUCUACAGGUGUGUGGACAGAAGACACUCACAGAGACUAGAUAUUUUGAAGAAUAACAGCUGGUGUUUUGCUUGAGAUAUCGAUCACUACAAGAACAGCACAAAAAUUCUGAAGACUUCUAAGAUUACUUUUUGGGAAGGCAAACACUUUGAAGGGCAAGAUCAGAAUUCAAAACCAUCUCACUUUGGAGAUCAGAUAGAAACUAACAAAAUGAAGACAACUACACUUAAGAAAGCAGAAUCAAAUGCAGAGAUUACAAUCUUUGAGGAAAACGGUAGCUCCGCAAGACUGACUCUUUGACAAACAAGUUCUGUUCAAGGAAGAAGAUUUAAAAAUUGG